UACGUAGGGGCUAGCGUUGUCCGGAAUCAUUGGGCGUAAAGCGUGCGCAGGCGGUUGUGCAAGACCGAUGUGAAAUCCCCGGGCUUAACCUGGGAAUGGCAUUGGUGACUGCACGGCUAGAGUGUGUCAGAGGGGGUAGAAUUCCACGUGUAGCAGUGAAAUGCGUAGAUAUGUGGAGGAAUACCGAUGGCGAAGGCAGCCCCCUGGGAUAACACUGACGCUCAUGCACGAAAGCGCGGGGAGCAAACAGG
rnacentral:rRNA from 1 species